GUAUCCUGGCUCAGGAUGAACGCUAGCGAUAGCUUAACACAUGCAAGUCGAGGGGCAGCAUUAUUUUAGCUUGCUAAGAUAGAUGGCGACCGGCGCACGGGUGCGUAACGCGUAUGCAACCUGCCUGUAAUUAGGGAAUAACCCGGUGAAAGUCGGACUAAUACCCUAUAUUCUCUUUUUCCGCAUGGAGAAGGACGGAAAGAUUUAUUGAUUACAGAUGGGCAUGCGUCCCAUUAGCUAGUUGGUAAGGUAACGGCUUACCAAGGCAACGAUGGGUAGGGGGACUGAGAGGUUGACCCCCCACACUGGUACUGAGACACGGACCAGACUCCUACGGGAGGCAGCAGUGAGGAAUAUUGGUCAAUGGGCGAGAGCCUGAACCAGCCAAGUCGCGUGAAGGACGACGGUUCUAUGGAUUGUAAACUUCUUUUGUAGAGGAAUAACGGCAGCUACGAGUAGCUGAGAUGCAUGUACUCUACGAAUAAGUAUCGGCUAACUCCGUG
rnacentral:rRNA from 1 species